CCUACGGGGGACUGCAGUGGGGAAUAUUGCGCAAUGGGCGAAAGCCUGACGCAGCGACGCCGCGUGAGGGAUGAAGGUCUUCGGAUCGUAAACCUCUGUCAGCAGGGAAGAACGGUCACUGUGCUAAUCAGCAGUGAAUUGACGGUACCUGCAAAGGAAGCACCGGCUAACUCCGUGCCAGCAGCCGCGGUAAUACGGAGGGUGCGAGCGUUAAUCGGAGUUACUGGGCGUAAAGCGCUCGUAGGCGGUAUGUCAAGUCAAGGGUGAAAUCCCCGCGCUCAACGUGGGAACUGCCUUUGAAACUGGCAAACUGGAGUGUGUGAGAGGAUAGUGGAAUUCCAGGUGUAGGAGUGAAAUGCGUAGAUAUCUGGAGGAACAUCAGUGGCGAAGGCGACUAUCUGGCACAUAACUGACGCUGAGGAGCGAAAGCGUGGGUAGCAAACAGGAUUAGAUACCCCAGUAGUC
rnacentral:rRNA from 1 species